UCCGAUAUGGUCUAGUGGCUAGGAUUUGCCGCUCUCAUAAGAGUCAGUACGCUUCUAUCAGCGCCGGCAAGGCCCGGGUUCGAUUCCCGGUGUCGGAA